rnacentral:tRNA from 1 species
GCCUUCUUGGUGUAGUGGUCAGCACGCUCGGCGCGUAUUCGAGAGGCUCGUGGUUCGAGUCCCGGCGAGGGCA